rnacentral:rRNA from 1 species
GUGAGUAGUUCAGAGUUUGAUCCUGGCUCAGGACGAACGCUGGCGGCGUGCUUAACACAUGCAAGUCGAACGAUGAAAUUCUGACGGAGGCUUCGGCCAACUGAGGGAUGGAUUAGUGGCGGACGGGUGAGUAACGCGUGAGUAACCUGCCUUUCAGAGUGGAAUAACAUUUGGAAACGAAUGGUAAUACCGCAUAACGUCAUUGGGACCGCAUGAUCCUAUGACCAAAGGAGCGAUCCGCUGAAAGAUGGACUCGCGUCCGAUUAGCUAGUUGGAGAGGUAACGGCUCCCCAAGGCGACGAUCGGUAGCCGGACUGAGAGGUUGAACGGCCACAUUGGGACUGAGACACGGCCCAA